CAGUAUGAUUGGAGGCAUUUUAAAAAUUAUGUCAGAUCUUUCUCUUCCGUGCCAUGGCAAUGUUUCCGGAAGCUUCACUUUUAUUAAAAUGAGGGUGAAGAUGAGGAGGUGCAGGGAGAUAGUGAUAUGCCCUGAGGUACUGGGGGUAAAAACCAAGCAGAAACCAGGAGCAUCAAAGUUCUGGGAAUCAGCUUUACUCCAUCUCUAUCAACACCUGCUCUGGAGAACACAGGAAUAAAGGCUGACAGGUGCAGCUGAGUUAAUCAGGGUGGAUAAUAGAAGAAAAGACAGGAAUUGCUGGCCAAAUUGCAGCAGAGAAAAAUGGGGCAAAAUCAUGAGACGCAAGUCAAAAAUGUCCAAUUAAAGUGUGAUGAUGCUUAAAGGGCAAGAACUACAUUCUCAGCCCCUGGGAAGUUGUACUGUGAAACCACAGGGGAUCCAUGGACCAUGGACCAGUAGCACAGGAGAUCAUUUUUGGUGGCAUACAGAUGAACUUUUAAAAAUUUGAACAGAUAUUUUAAUGUGUAUUAGAAAACUAUAACUAGCAUAUAAAACUGUUAAUUUAAUGGAUAUUACUGCUGAGAAUGAGUCUAAAUUUUACCUAAAGCAGGUAUUUAAUUGCUAGUCUAUUAAGAGAAAAAAUUUUAAUUUUAUAG
ensembl:lncRNA